CCUACGGGCGGCAGCAGUGGGGAAUAUUGCGCAAUGGGCGAAAGCCUGACGCAGCGACGCCGCGUGAGGGAUGAAGGUCUUCGGAUCGUAAACCUCUGUCAGCAGGGAAGAACGGUCACUGGGCUAAUCAGAAGUGAAGUGACGGUACCUGCAAAGGAAGCACCGGCUAACUCCGUGCCAGCAGCCGCGGUAAGACGGAGGGGGCGAGCGUUAAUCGGAAUAACUGGGCGUAAAGCGCUCGUAGGCGGUAUGGCAAGUCAAGGGUGAAAUCCCCGCGCUCACCGUGGGAACUGCCUUUGAAACUGGCCACCUGGAGUGUGUGAGAGGUUCGUGGACUUC
rnacentral:rRNA from 1 species